UAGCAGGCGCAGGCCAUCAAAUCUUUGCCAGGUCCAGACAGUAACAAACAUGGCUAUCGUGGUCUCUCUCUGCAGGGUGUUCUUCCUUAAUGUGCCAUUGGAUUCCAUCCUAGAGCGACUGACACUGAGAAGGACUGACCCUGUCACAGGAGAAAGGUUCCAUCUUAUGUACAAGCCUCCUCCCACUAUUGAGGUCCAGGCCCGUCUCCUGCAGAACCCCAAGGACUCAGAGGAGUAUAUCAGGCUUCGAACGGACCUGUUCUACAGGAACUCUGGGGAUCUGGAGCAGUACUACCAGCGGGCUAUCACUGUCAACGCAGACCAGGACCCAUACACAGUCUUCGAGUACAUAGAGAGCGGGAUCAUUAAUCCUCUGCCCAGGAAAGUGACCUGAUACGUGCAAAGCCAGGAGCAAGCCCUGGAGACACUAGAAUCCUCUGCCCAUGACCUUCAGCAGACAUCCACCCUACCCUCCACCCCCCAAAACCCCGCCAAUAAAAAUGCUAGACACAACCUCAGGUAGCCUCCUUAGGGAGUCUGAGAACACAGGGCAGAGGCCCAUGGGGGGUGCGGUGGAAUGCUAGAUGCUAGGCCUUCCUCUAAAGUCAGAUGUAGAUAAAGCCCACCUAAAGCAGCAGCAGCAUCCUGUUAGGAAUAAAGCUCGUGGCGGAUUCCAUGGCAGGCGAGGA
rnacentral:lncRNA from 1 species